GACGAACGCUGGCGGCGUGCUUAACACAUGCAAGUCGAACGAUGAUGCCAGCUUGCUGGUGGAUUAGUGGCGAACGGGUGCGUAACACGUGAGCAACCUGCCCCUGACUUCGGGAUAACCGCGGGAAACCGUGGCUAAUACCGGAUAUGACGCGCUAUCGCAUGGUGGUGUGUGGAAAGAUUUAUCGGUUGGGGAUGGGCUCGCGGCCUAUCAGCUUGUUGGUGGGGUGAUGGCCUACCAAGGCGACGACGGGUAGCCGGCCUGAGAGGGUGACCGGCCACACUGGGACUGAGACACGGCCCAGACUCCUACGGGAGGCAGCAGUGGGGAAUAUGGCACAAUGGGCGCAAGCCUGAUGCAGCGACGCCGCGUGAGGGAUGACGGCCUUCGGGUUGUAAACCUCUUUCAGUAGGGAAGAAGGCCUUCGGGUUGACGGUACCUGCAGAAGAAGCGCCGGCUAACUACGUG
rnacentral:rRNA from 1 species